AAAAUUAGAGUGUUCAAAGCAGGCAGACCAUUCUUCUGCCACCGAAUACAUUAGCAUGGGAUAAUGGAAUAGGACCCUGUCCUCCUAUUUUGCGUGUUGGUUUUCGAGGACCGGGUAAUGAUUAAUAG
rnacentral:rRNA from 1 species